AGUCGAACGGUAACAGGAAGAAGCUUGCUUCUUUGCUGACGAGUGGCGGACGGGUGAGUAAUGUCUGGGAAACUGCCCGAUGGAGGGGGAUAACUACUGGAAACGGUAGCUAAUACCGCAUAACGUCGCAAGACCAAAGAGGGGGACCUUCGGGCCUCUUGCCAUCGGAUGUGCCCAGAUGGGAUUAGCUAGUAGGUGGGGUAACGGCUCACCUAGGCGACGAUCCCUAGCUGGUCUGAGAGGAUGACCAGCCACACUGGAACUG
rnacentral:rRNA from 1 species